rnacentral:tRNA from 1 species
UUACAGCUAGCUCAUUUGGUUAGAGCAUCAGAUUUUUAAUCUGAGUGUAACGGGUUCGAGUCCCGUGCUUGAAAC